UGAGGAGGAACCUAUGGAGGAUCCUAUUUCUCCCACAUAGGAUGAACUAUUUGCUGGUUUGACAUCAAUUCUGGUCAGUUACAUUCCUAUCUCUUCAGCUAUUAUUAACACACCUUUUGUAGAGUCUUUAGAGCAUAUGAUACAGCUUCUGACCUUUGAGAGGGAUCAGGCUAUAACAUUGAUGUUGAUGACCCUAUCUGGCCAAGACACUGCUAUUGCUGAGAGGGAUGUGGCCCGAGCUACUAGGGAUGCUUCUGCUGCUGAUAGUAUUGCUCUCAGAUCCUAUAUGGAGGGCAUUAUCGCAGAUACAAGUGUAUUUAUG
rnacentral:lncRNA from 1 species